GCUUACCGGCCAUACCUCUCUGGCUCCGCCUGAUCUCGUCUGAUCUCAGAAGCUAAGCAGAGUAGGGCCUGGUUAGUACUUGGAUGGAAGACCGCCUGGGAAUCCCAGGUGCCGUAAGCU
ensembl:rRNA 5S_rRNA 5S ribosomal RNA